UUAGAAUGCAUUAACUGCAUUGUAACUUUACCGAUUUCAUUUUGACGAGUGGUUUAUAUAAGGAAACAAAGUUAGUGAUCAGAAAAAGGUAAGAAAAUUUGUAAUUUCUCAACAAGUGGUGAAAAAGUUCAGUUCAUUAAGUGCUUGUUGGUCAAAUGUUUCAACUUGCAGGUGGGUCAAACCAACAUAGUUGCACAUACUCCAUCAUCCAUGAAGCUCCAGCACUGGAAAACAACUCUGAGAUUUCACAGCCCAAUGAGCCCAUUUAUUCUCUGAUCGACAAACCAAAUUAAGAAAAUCCUCAGGACUUAAUAAAGAAUGUGUCACCAUCUGCAACUGGACAUCCAUCCAGCAGCUCUGCUAUUUAUGUUAUAAAUUGUGUUUUAGCAACAUUUAUUUUAAAAGAAUUAAAAAAACACAAACAAACAAAAAAUUUAUAUAUCAGCACUUUGUUUUAUUAUUUCAAUAGGUCCAAAGUUAAUUUGACUCUUUCGAAUUUAUAAUUUUAUUUAAGUUUGUGUGAAUUUGUUAUUAAAAUAAUGCAAUAAAUCAUAUUUUUGACUUUAAUUGACAGAUACAUCUGAACAAAUCUGUGGUACCCAGAAUAAAAGGAGCCUAUUCCAGUUGACAUUGGGCGAGAGGCAGGGUACACCCUGGACAGGUUGCCAGACUAUUGCGGGGCUAAAACAUAGAGACAAACAACCAUUCAUGCUCACAUGACACCU